rnacentral:lncRNA from 1 species
UUCCAAAUCAUUUGUGACAUCUGUGCUAAUGGUGGGAGAAGGCAGAGGCCACCCUGGUAUUUGUGCAGACCCAACCCCUGCCCGUGAUUCCAGCUCAUCCCUGGAAACAGCCUAAGUGUGACGAGUUGGCUAUUCAGCAGGAAAUACCUCAUUUGCCUUGGGUGUAAAAGCGUGCUGCCCCUUUAACUGCCUUAGGUGGCGUUGGUAUACAUUACACCGGCAUCUCCCACACGAGGCAACUAUCACCACCGCAGUUAUUUGCUUGGUUUGGUUUUUCAAGACAGGGUUUCUCUAUGCAGCCCUGGCUGCCCUGGAAUUUACUCUGUAGACCAGACUGGUCUCUAAUUAAUAGAGACCCACCUGCCUCUGCCUCUACUUGGAUUAAAGACGUGGGCCACCAUGCCCAGAGGCCACCUCAGCCAGCAACCACCAGAGUAUUAAAUAGAAUGGCUGUCAAUGUUCCUUGGCUACUGGAGGAACAGGGCAGCAAGCCUCUGAGGGAGUGGGGGGAGAGAGAGACAGAGAGAGGCCAGUAGCCAGGGGGUCUGUGGGGCAGGGACAGAGGAAGCCAGAGGUGACUCAGGCUGUAUUUGGAGCCUUCUAGUCCAAGGGGCAGUUGGGCUUUUACAUGAAAUAAAAGAAAGAUGGGAAGAGUG